AUUGAACGCUGGCGGCAGGCCUAACACAUGCAAGUCGAGCGGGGUUUUCGGACCUAGCGGCGGACGGGUGAGUAACACGUGGGAACGUACCUUUUGGUUCGGAACAACUCAGGGAAACUUGAGCUAAUACCGGAUGAGCCCUUAGGGGGAAAGAUUUAUCGCCGAAAGAGCGGCCCGCGUUCGAUUAGCUAGUUGGUGAGGUAAAGGAUCACCAAGGCUACGAUCUAUAGCUGGUCUGAGAGGAUGAUCAGCCACACUGGGACUGAGACACGGCCCAGACUCCUACGGGAGGCAGCAGUGGGGAAUUGUUCGCAAUGGGCGCGAGCCUGACGACUCAACGCCGCGUGGAGGAUGAAGGUCUUCGGAUUGUAAACUCCUGUUGCCCGGGACGAUAAUGACGGUACCUGGAGAAAAAGCCCCGGCUAACUUCGUGCCAGCCGCCGCAGUAACAC
rnacentral:rRNA from 1 species